UGCCAGCCGCCGCGGUAAUACGAAGGGAGCUAGCGUUGUUCGGAAUUGCUGGGCGUAAAGCGCACGUAGGCGGAUUAUUAAGUUAGGGGUGAAAUCCCAGGGCUCAACCCUGGAACUGCCCUUAAUACUGGUAAUCUAGAGAUCGAGAGAGGUGAGUGGAAUUCCGAGUGUAGAGGUGAAAUUCGUAGAUAUUCGGAGGAACACCAGUGGCGAAGGCGGCUCACUGGCUCGAUACUGACGCUGAGGUGCGAAAGCGUGGGGAGCAAACAGGAUUAGAUA
rnacentral:rRNA from 1 species